rnacentral:rRNA from 1 species
AUUGAACGCUGGCGGCAGGCCUAACACAUGCAAGUCGAACGCGUGGCGGACGGGUGAGUAAUGUCUGGGAAACUGCCCGAUGGGGGGGGAUAACUACUGGAAACGGUAGCUAAUACAGCAUACCAUCUGAUGUGCCCAGAUGGGGUUAGCGCGUGGGUGGGGUAACGGCUCACCUAGGCGACGAUCCCUCGCUGGUCUGAGAGGAUGACCAGCCACACUGGAACUGAGACACGGUCCAGACUCCUACGGGAGGCAGCAGUGGGGAAUAUUGCACAAUGGGCGCAAGCCUGAUGCAGCCAUGCCGCGUGUAUGAAGAAGGCCUUCGGGUUGUAAAGUACUUUCAGCGGGGAGGCGUUACUCGCAGAAGAAGCACCGGCUAACUCCGUGCCAGCCGCCGCGGUAAUUC